rnacentral:tRNA from 1 species
UUUUGAUAGCUUAUUUAGAGUAUAAUAUUGAAGAUAUUAAGGAAGUUAGAGUUACUUUAAAAUAU